GGGGCUGUGGCUCAGUGGCAGAGCACUCGCCUAGAGCGUGAGAGGACCUGGGUUCAAUCCUCAGCACCCCA
rnacentral:tRNA from 1 species